GUGCUCGCUUUGGCAGCACAUGUACUAAAACUGGAAUGAUACAGAGAAUAGUCUGGCCCCUGCGCAAGGAUGACGCAAAUUCGUGAAACGUUACAUAUUUUA